GCCAGACUCCUACGGGAGGCAGCAGUGGGGGAUAUUGCACAAUGGGGGAAACCCUGAUGCAGCGACGCCGCGUGAAGGAUGAAGUAUUUCGGUAUGUAAACUUCUAUCAGCAGGGAAGAAAAUGACGGUACCUGACUAAGAAGCCCCGGCUAACUACGUGCCAGCAGCCGCGGUAAUACGUAGGGGGCAAGCGUUAUCCGGAUUUACUGGGUGUAAAGGGAGCGUAGACGGCAAUACAAGUCGGAAGUGAAAUACCCGGGCUCAACCUGGGAACUGCUUUGGAAACUGUAUGGCUGGAGUGCUGGAGAGGUAAGCGGAAUUCCUAGUGUAGCGGUGAAAUGCGUAGAUAUUAGGAGGAACACCAGUGGCGAAGGCGGCUUACUGGACAGUAACUGACGUUGAGGCUCGAAAGCGUGGGGAGCAAACAGGAUUAGAUACCCUUGUAC
rnacentral:rRNA from 1 species